rnacentral:rRNA from 1 species
GCCGCGUGAGUGAUGAAGGUUUUCGGAUCGUAAAGCUCUGUUGUUAGGGAAGAACAAGUGCAAGAGUAACUGCUUGCACCUUGACGGUACCUAACCAGAAAGCCACGGCUAACUACGUGCCAGCAGCCGCGGUAAUACGUAGGUGGCAAGCGUUGUCCGGAAUUAUUGGGCGUAAAGGGCUCGCAGGCGGUUUCUUAAGUCUGAUGUGAAAGCCCCCGGCUCAACCGGGGAGGGUCAUUGGAAACUGGGAAACUUGAGUGCAGAAGAGGAGAGUGGAAUUCCACGUGUAGCGGUGAAAUGCGUAGAGAUGUGGAGGAACACCAGUGGCGAAGGCGACUCUCUGGUCUGUAACUGACGCUGAGGAGCGAAAGCGUGGGGAGCGAACAGGAUUAGAUACCCUGGUAGUCCACGCCGUAAACGAUGAGUGCUAAGUGUUAGGGGGUUUCCGCCCCUUAGUGCUGCAGCUAACGCAUUAAGCACUCCGCCUGGGGGAGUACGGUCGCAAGACUGAAACUCAAAGGAAUUUGACGGGGGGCCCGCNACAAGCGGUGG